rnacentral:rRNA from 1 species
UACGAAGGGGGCUAGCGUUGUUCGGAAUUACUGGGCGUAAAGCGCGCGCAGGCGGCUAUCCAAGUCAGUGGUGAAAGCCCGGAGCUCAACUCCGGAACUGCCAUUGAAACUGUUUAGCUUGAGGAUGAGAGAGGUGAGUGGAAUUCCCAGUGUAGAGGUGAAAUUCGUAGAUAUUGGGAAGAACACCGGUGGCGAAGGCGGCUCACUGGCUCAUUACCGACGCUCAGGCGCGAUAGCGUGGGGAUCAAACAGG